rnacentral:ncRNA from 1 species
AAAAAAACUGUGAACAAGAGGAAUAUUAUUAUUUUAUUCAAAGAGAGCUAGUGUUUGGUGAAAACUAGUAAUAAAGAUGGUAUUUGUAGCUUGGGAGUUGAACUUUUGAAAUUAAGUAAAUUGUUACGGUAACGCGUUAUAGUUUCAAGGUAGAUUAUUCUACAAAUUAAGGUGGUACCACGUUAAACACGUCCUUAUU